AGCAGCCGCGGUAAUUCCAGCUCCAAUAGCGUAUAUUAAAGUUGUUGCAGUUAAAAAGCUCGUAGUUGAAUUUCGGGAUUAGUGCGCCGGUCGUGCCCUCGGUAUGUACUGGUGUUACUGGUUCCUACCUUCUGACGAACCGUCAUGUCAUUAAUUUGGUGUGGCGGGGAAUCAGGACUGUUACUUUGAAAAAAUUAGAGUGUUUAAAGCAGGCUCGCGCUUGAAUACAUUAGCAUGGAAUAAUGAAAUAGGACGUUCGAUCCUAUUUUGUUGGUUUCUAGGAUUGACGUAAUGAUUAAUAGGGAUAGUUGGGGGCAUUAGUAUUCAAUUGUCAGAGGUGAAAUUCUUGGAUUUAUUGAAGACUAACUACUGCGAAAGCAUUUGCCAAGGAUGUUUUCAUUAAUCAAGAACGAAAGUUAGGGGAUCGAAGACGAUCAGAUACCGUCGUAGUCUUAACCAUAAACUAUGCCGACUAGGGAUCGGAUGAUGUUAUUUUUAAUGACUCA
rnacentral:rRNA from 1 species